rnacentral:rRNA from 1 species
UUGGUAAGGUAACGGCUUACCAAGGCGACGAUGUUUAGGGGACCUGAGAGGGUUGUCCCCCACACUGGUACUGAGACACGGACCAGACUCCUACGGGAGGCAGCAGUGAGGAAUAUUGGUCAAUGGGCGCAAGCCUGAACCAGCCAUCCCGCGUGAAGGAAGAAUGCGCUACGCGUUGUAAACUUCUUUUCCAGGGGGAGAAUAAUCCUGUCGUGACAGGACUUGACGGUACUCUGGGAAUAAGCAUCGGCUAACUCCGUGCCAGCAGCCGCGGUAAUACGGAGGAUGCGAGCGUUAUCCGGAUUUAUUGGGUUUAAAGGGUGCGUAGGCGGAUUGAUAAGUCAGUGGUGAAAUUCUACAGCUUAACUGUAGACUUGCCGUUGAUACUGUUAGUCUUGAGUGUGGUCAAGGCAGGCGGAAUGUGUAAUGUAGCGGUGAAAUGCUUAGAUAUUACACAGAACACCGAUUGCGAAGGCAGCUUGCUGGGUCAUUACUGACGCUGAUGCACGAAAGCGUGGGGAUCAAACAGGAUUAGAUACCCUGGUAGUCCACGCCGUAAACUAUGAUCACUCGCUGUUGGCGAUACACAGUCAGCGGCUAAGCAAAAGC